rnacentral:tRNA from 1 species
UGGGUUGCCCGGGACUCGAACCCGGAACUAGUCGGAUGGAGUAGAGAAUUUCUUUGUUAAAAAAUAGUUUAAAAACCCUCCCCAAACCGUGCUUGCAUUUUUCAUUGCACACGGCUUUCCCUAUGUAUACAUCUAAAACUCAGUUCCCUCCCCAGACGGAACCCCUAUGAAAGAUAAAUACUCAUUUACUCAAUCUUUACUCGUAUAUUGCAUGAGCAUUUCAUAAUGGAAAUGGAUGAUUUCUUUUGUUAUCCCUAUUUAGUUUAGGGAUAUUUUCGAUUUCCAUGUUUUCAUAACCAAUUAUUCAUGAUUGGACAGCUCGUUGAUACAAAUAAUAUCCAAAUACCAAACCCGCCCCCUAUAUAACUUUUGUGAAAUAGAAGAAGCUCUUGGAAAGAUCAAAAAAAGAAUUUGCUCUUCCUCCGUAAAAAACUCUUCCAAUAAUUCUGAACCUAAUCUUUUCAAAAAAAUGCGUACAGUACUUUUGUGUUUACGAGCCAACGUUUUAACACAAGAAAGUCGAAGUAUAUAUUUUAUUCGAUACAAACUCUUUUUUCUUGAGGAUCCGCUAUAAUAAUGAGAAAGAUUUCUGCAUAUACGGACAAAUCGGUCGAUAAUAUCAGAAUCCGAAAAAGCGGCCCAGGUCGGUUUACUAAUGGGAUGUCCUACUGCGUUACAAAAUUUCAUUUUUGCUAAUGAUCCAAUCAAAGGAAUAAUUGAAACUGUUGUAUCGAGUUUAUUCAUAAUAUUAUCCAUUAGAAAUGCAUUUUCUAGCAUUUGACUCCGUACCACUGAAAGGUUUAGUCGUACACUUGAACUUGAAAGAUAACCUAAUAAGGCGAAAGAAUGCUUGUAUAAUGAAAAUGGGUUUAUAUGGAUCUUUUGGGGUUGAAAGCACACAUCAAAAUGACAUUGACAUAAAUUGACAAGGUAAUAUUUCCAUUUUUUCAUCAGAAGAGGCGUAUCCUUUGAGACAAAAAUGGAUUUUCCUUGAUAUCUAAUAUAAUGUAUGAAAGGAUCCUUGAGCAAGCAUAGGCUGUCCCCCCAAUCCUUAGUAAAGACUUCUACAAAAUGUUCUAUUUUUCCAUAGAAAUAUAUUCGCUCAAGAAAGACCUGAUAAAAUGUUAAUCGGAAAUGAAAGGAUUGCUUACAAAGAAAAAAGAAAACGGACUCGUAUUCAUAUACAUGAGAAUUAUAUAAGAACAAGAAGAAUCUUUGAUUCUUUUUUACAAAAAAGGAAAUAGAUUUCUUUGGAAUAAUAAGACUGUUCAAAUUCCAAUACUCGUGAAGAAAGAGUCGUAAUAAAUGCAAAGAGGAGGGAUCUUUCACCCAAUAGCGAAGGAUUUGAACCAAUUUUUCUAGAUGGAUGGGGUACGGUAUUAGUCCCUCUGACAGAUAAUUUAAAUGUGGGAAUUUGCCCUCUAAAAAAGGAAAUAUUGAAUGAAUUGAUCGUAAAUUAUGAGAUUUUACUAUUUCUGAUCUUUCUAAAGAGGAUACUAAUCGUAAGGAAAAUGGAAUUUCCACAAUAACUGCAAACCCCUCCGAUAUCAUUUGAAAAUACAAAUUUUUGUUAUACCUAAAAAAUGUAUUUUGGUUAGAAUCAUUAGCAGAAAUAAUCAAAUGAUUCUGUUGAUACAUUCGAGUAAUUAAACGUUUUACGAUUAGUAAACUAUAUUUAUUGUCAUAACCUACAUUUUCUAACAAAAUAGAUCUAUUUAAGUCACGAUCAUGAGCAAAUGUAUAAAUAUACUCCCGAAAGAUAAGUGGGUAUAGGAAGUCAUUUUUUCGAGAUCUAUCUAUUUCUAAAUUUCUUUGAGAUUUCUCUAUUUUCAUUUUGAAUUCGAUUUGAUUGAAGCAAAGAUAGGGAGUUUAUUGGGUUAUUAAAUGAUACAUAGUGCGAUACCAUAAAAACAAAAUAGUAUAAUAUAAAAAGAAUAGAUACCUCGGAAAUAGUUAAACUCACCAACGGACCCUCUAUCCUCUCUUUUUUCCAUCUAAUUGGUUUAUGUUCAUUUCUAAUUGGUUUAUGUUCAUUUAUAGGGUAAUAGGUGACUAGAAAUCCUUUAAUUUUUCAAGUCAAUCACUCUUUUUUGAUUUUGGAAAAAAAAAAUUGCUUUAUCAAUAUACUUUUUCUUCUACACAUUCAACUCCCCUUCAUAGUGGAGAAUAGCUAAUAGUUAGGACUCAUUAAAAAAAUCGAAAAUCCACUCAAGAAAAAGCUUUUCCCGCACUAGGCACUAAUCUAUUUUUAACGUCUAAUUAGAUCGGAAAAUCAUUCAAAUUAAGAACGGGAGCUCGUUGCUUUUUUAUUUCCCUAUAAUUCCCUAUAAUUGGAGCCGCGGAGCUCUGUCCAUUUAUUAACUCGACCCAACCCCAACUUUGAAUUUGAAUUCAUUUGUUUUUAUGUUACGCACCAAGAAUUCAAACAAGGUUUGUUUGGAGCCGAUCCGGUAAGAAUCAAAUAUUCUCAGAAUUCUCCAUUGAUACGACAUGCUGUUUUUUCCAUUCAUUCCUUUCAGGAUCAGUCGUGGUCUUACAAAUAAUACCGAUGGUAUGGACGAAUCCCUUUCUUCGUACAAAUGUGUAAAAGCUGUUAGCCGCACUUAAAAGCCGAGUACUCUACCAUUGAGUUAGCAACCC